AUUGAACGCUCGCGGGAUGCUUUACACAUGCAAGUCGAACGAGUGGCGGACGGGUGAGUAAUGUAUCGGAACUUGCCCACUCGAGGUGGAUAACUACUGGAAAGAGUAUCUAAUACCGCAUACCACCCGAUUGGCCUAGAUGGGAUUAGCUAGUUGGUGGGGUAACGGCUAACCAAGGCCACGAUCCCUAGCUGGUUUGAGAGGAUGACCAGCCAAACUGGGACUAAGACACGGCCCGAACUCCUACGGGAGGCAGCAGUGGGGAAUGUUGGACAAUGGGAGCAACCCUGAUGCAGCCAUCCGGCGUGUAUGAAGAAGGCCGUCGGGUUGUAAAGUACUUUCGGCAGAGAGGCGAUACCUGCAGAAUAAGCACCGGCUAACUACGUGCCAGCCGGCGCGGUAAUAC
rnacentral:rRNA from 1 species